AGCGGCACAACGUAAAAAGCUUCCCGCUUCCGUCCGAAGAGUCAAAACGUCAGCCCGGCCAGGAUAUGAAACUAAAUGCAAGCACUAAAUAGAAUCGAAAAAAGGCAUUAGUUGCUAGUUUAACACGGUUUAAGCGGGACAAAUUGACGACGAUUGUGGUGAUAUGAUGGAAUUCCGAAGCCAAAAACAUGAAAAAUGACCUGAAAAACGAGCGUAACAUGAAUGCAAAAUGUCAUUUAAGGUUAAUAUACGAUGAUAAAUUACCCGGUUGGAAAAUUACUAAUUGUAUCGUACAAAGCAACAAGCGACGAUACCAAUGCAGCGCGGAAUCGAAGGCGUAAACAAAUAGCCUUUUGUGACGAUAAUCU